UUUUAUGGAGAGUUUGAUCCUGGCUCAGGAUAAACGCUGGCGGCGUGCCUAAUACAUGCAAGUCGAGCGAACGGACGAGAAGCUUGCUUCUCUGAUGUUAGCGGCGGACGGGUGAGUAACACGUGGAUAACCUACCUAUAAGACUGGGAUAACUUCGGGAAACCGGAGCUAAUACCGGAUAAUAUUUUGAACCGCAUGGUUCAAAAGUGAAAGACGGUCUUGCUGUCACUUAUAGAUGGAUCCGCGCUGCAUUAGCUAGUUGGUAAGGUAACGGCUUACCAAGGCAACGAUGCAUAGCCGACCUGAGAGGGUGAUCGGCCACACUGGAACUGAGACACGGUCCAGACUCCUACGGGAGGCAGCAGUAGGGAAUCUUCCGCAAUGGGCGAAAGCCUGACGGAGCAACGCCGCGUGAGUGAUGAAGGUCUUCGGAUCGUAAAACUCUGUUAUUAGGGAAGAACAUAUGUGUAAGUAACUGUGCACAUCUUGACGGUACCUAAUCAGAAAGCCACGGCUAACUACGUGCCAGCAGCCGCGGUAAUACGUAGGUGGCAAGCGUUAUCCGGAAUUAUUGGGCGUAAAGCGCGCGUAGGCGGUUUUUUAAGUCUGAUGUGAAAGCCCACGGCUCAACCGUGGAGGGUCAUUGGAAACUGGAAAACUUGAGUGCAGAAGAGGAAAGUGGAAUUCCAUGUGUAGCGGUGAAAUGCGCAGAGAUAUGGAGGAACACCAGUGGCGAAGGCGACUUUCUGGUCUGUAACUGACGCUGAUGUGCGAAAGCGUGGGGAUCAAACAGGAUUAGAUACCCUGGUAGUCCACGCCGUAAACGAUGAGUGCUAAGUGUUAGGGGGUUUCCGCCCCUUAGUGCUGCAGCUAACGCAUUAAGCACUCCGCCUGGGGAGUACGACCGCAAGGUUGAAACUCAAAGGAAUUGACGGGGACCCGCACAAGCGGUGGAGCAUGUGGUUUAAUUCGAAGCAACGCGAAGAACCUUACCAAAUCUUGACAUCCUUUGACAACUCUAGAGAUAGAGCCUUCCCCUUCGGGGGACAAAGUGACAGGUGGUGCAUGGUUGUCGUCAGCUCGUGUCGUGAGAUGUUGGGUUAAGUCCCGCAACGAGCGCAACCCUUAAGCUUAGUUGCCAUCAUUAAGUUGGGCACUCUAAGUUGACUGCCGGUGACAAACCGGAGGAAGGUGGGGAUGACGUCAAAUCAUCAUGCCCCUUAUGAUUUGGGCUACACACGUGCUACAAUGGACAAUACAAAGGGCAGCGAAACCGCGAGGUCAAGCAAAUCCCAUAAAGUUGUUCUCAGUUCGGAUUGUAGUCUGCAACUCGACUACAUGAAGCUGGAAUCGCUAGUAAUCGUAGAUCAGCAUGCUACGGUGAAUACGUUCCCGGGUCUUGUACACACCGCCCGUCACACCACGAGAGUUUGUAACACCCGAAGCCGGUGGAGUAACCUUUUAGGAGCUAGCCGUCGAAGGUGGGACAAAUGAUUGGGGUGAAGUCGUAACAAGGUAGCCGUAUCGGAAGGUGCGGCUGGAUCACCUCCUUUCU
rnacentral:rRNA from 5 species